GACGAACGCUGGCGGCGUGCUUAGCACAUGCAAGUCGAACGGAAAGGCCCUGCUUUUGUGGGGUGCUCGAGUGGCGAACGGGUGAGUAACACGUGAGUAACCUGCCCUUGACUUUGGGAUAACUUCAGGAAACUGGGGCUAAUACCGGAUAGGAGCUCCUGCUGCAUGGUGGGGGUUGGAAAUUUUCGGCGGUUGGGGAUGGACUCGCGGCUUAUCAGCUUGUUGGUUGGGUAGUGGCUUACCAAGGCUUUGACGGGUAGCCGGCCUGAGAGGGUGACCGGCCACAUUGGGCCUGAGAUACGGAGCAGACUCCUACGGGAGGCAGCAGUGGGGAAUAUUGCACAAUGGGAGGAAGCCUGAUGCAGCAACGCCGCGUGCGGGAUGACGGCCUUCGGGUUGUAAACCGCUUUAGCCUGUGACGAAGCGUGAGUGACGGUAAUGGGUAAAGAAGCACCGGCUAACUACGUG
rnacentral:rRNA from 1 species